UACGUAGGGUGCAAGCGUUGUCCGGAAUUAUUGGGCGUAAAGAGCUCGUAGGCGGUUCGUCGCGUCGGCUGUGAAAACCUGAGGCUCAACCUCAGGCCUGCAGUCGAUACGGGCGGACUUGAGUACUGCAGGGGAGACUGGAAUUCCUGGUGUAGCGGUGAAAUGCGCAGAUAUCAGGAGGAACACCGGUGGCGAAGGCGGGUCUCUGGGCGAGUAACUGACGCUGGAGGAGCGAAAGCCGUGGGGAGCGAACAGG
rnacentral:rRNA from 1 species